rfam:Sus scrofa isolate TJ Tabasco breed Duroc chromosome 12, whole genome shotgun sequence.
UCCCUGGUGGUCUAGUGGUUAGGACUCAGUGCUUUCACUGCUGCAAGCUCGGGUUCAAUCCCUGGUCUGGGAA